GAUGAAGAACGUAGCGAAAUGCGAUAAGUAAUGUGAAUUGCAGAAUUCAGUGAAUCAUCGAAUCUUUGAACGCACAUUGCGCCCUCUGGUAUUCCGGGGGGCAUGCCUGUUCGAGCGUCAUUAUAACCACUCAAGCUCUCGCUUGGUAUUGGGGCUCGCGGUUCCGCGGCCUCUAAAAUCAGUGGCGGUGCCUGUCGGCUCUACGCGUAGUAAUACUCCUAGCGAUUGAGUCCGGUAGGUCUACUUGCCAGCAACCCCCAAUUUUUACAGGUUGACCUCGGAUCAGGUAGGGAUACCCGCUGAACUUAAGCAUAUCAAUAAGCGGAGGA
rnacentral:misc_RNA from 1 species